rnacentral:lncRNA from 1 species
UUGAAGAAAAAGCGAGUAUCCGAAGAGUAAUUGAAGCUGAAGGAGUUCCUUACACUUACCUUUGUUGCCACGCCUUUACCGGUUACUUCUUACGUAACUUGGCUCAACUCGACGUCACUGAUCCUCCUCGGGAUAAAGUUGUCAUUCUUGGAGAUGGAAAUGUGAAAGGUAGCAAACUUAUUCACAAAACAGUUUUAGUACUAGUAUUCUACUAAACAUACAUCAUUCAAUUGUUUCAACAUUUGCCUUAAUUUUUUUUUUUUUCAGGAGCUUAUGUCACUGAGGCUGAUGUUGGGACUUUUACCAUUAAAGCAGCAAAUGAUCCCAACACAUUGAACAAAGCUGUCCAUAUAAGACUCCCCAAAAAUUAUUUGACCCAAAAUGAGGUUAUUUCUCUUUGGGAGAAAAAGAUUGGGAAGACUCUUGAGAAAACUUAUGUUUCAGAGGAACAAGUUCUCAAGGAUAUUCAAGGUCAGUAAAAUAAACGCUUUAUAAAUAUUGUUAAGAAUUUUUACAAUGUUAAUCAAUCAAUAAAUCGUUAAAAUUAUUUGAUUUUAAUUAUAUCUAUGCUUACUACGCAGAAUCUUCAUUCCCUCAUAACUACUUGUUGGCAUUGUAUCAUUCACAACAAAUAAAAGGAGAUGCAGUUUAUGAGAUUGAUCCAACCAAAGAUAUUGAAGCUUCUGAAGCCUAUCCUGAUGUCACAUACACCACUGCUGAUGAAUAUUUGAAUCAAUUUGUCUAAGUUUGUCAUCCCGGAAAUGUUAAAUAAGACAAAGAUUAUUUUUUCUUAAUAGUUUCACAUGUUGUACCACAUCAAUUAUAUUGUUAGUUGUCCUUGUUGUCUUGUUCUCAAUAAACCUUCCAAUUGAUGUAAUAUUUUACAAAAAUAAUAAUAUUGUAUUGUUCUAUUGUUUGCACAUUUGUGUCACUAGUAUCACUCUAUUAUUUUGUUGUUGCCCGUGAAUGGGUGACUCAAUAAAUUAUUUAAUACCCACGUCAGGAUGGACCGAUCUACCGUAUGAAGCAAUAUUUGUUUGGUCUCGGUUAUAAAUUUAAAUUAUUUACACACAUGCAAAAGAAAAAAAGUAGAAAGAAUGAACCAAUAUUUUUUUAUUUUAUUUUUAUGGGGGUGUUUGUUUGGGAGAUAAAAAAUAUAUUCCUGGGUAUAAGGGCAUUAAAUAUGAUAUUCCUAUGUUUGGUAGAAGGGAACAAAAAUAAUAUACCCAGGAAUAAAUGAUUCCCAGGAAUCUUAUUUACCCGUUGACUCUCUAUUUUUAUUCCCGGGGGUGGGGGGCUGGAAUCUUCAAUUCCUGAGAAUGAAAUCUCCACAUUCAUGACGAAAACCCACCCAUACCCCUAUUUUACCCACGCUUCUUCCCUCCUAAUUUUUCCCACGCGUUUUCUAAAUUAAUAGAAACCCACAUAUAUAUAAACCCCUCUUUGCUCUCUCUUUUCACUCAUCUGGAUCCAGAUCCAUCCAUAACAGGUUUGUGUCUUAUGUUUUGUUUUGUUUUUUGCGUUUUUUUAACUGCUGGACAGAUUCUCGGCCUGCCAGGCUGCUGUACCAGCGGAGCUGGGCCGCGCAAAUGCGAGUUUCGGUGACUGACAUUCGAGCGGGCAUCCACCAUUCUGUUGCUGUUGCAUGUCAAAGGUGUUGGGCAGUCUGCCAACCUUCAAUUAAAUGGCGUGUAACAACUUGAAACAGGGUACUCUUGUUAUGUAUUAAAAAACAAGUAUAUACCCUGACCAAUACCUUUGUUGACUCGCAUAAUUUACUUUGCUUGAUUAAAAAUAACAUGAAAAAUAUUAUUUUUCAUCAAUUUAAUGUAAAAGGGUAUUUUAAUAAUUUUGACAUUUAUUCCUGGGAUUAUACAUUUUAAACCAAACAUAUUUUUAGUAUUCCCAGGAAUUUAGAAAGAAAGUUCCAAGGAAUUCAAAUUGGUAACCAAACACUUUUUUAAAAUAUUCCUAGGAAUAUAAUUCCAAGGAAUAUAUUCCUGGGAAAAUUAUUCCAGGGAAUAAUUUUUGCAUCUGUGAAACAAACGGCCCCUAUAUUAUUGAAAUAAGUGCCCUAAAGGCAUUUGUUAGCAUUCUCCUUAAAAUAAUUAUAUGAUGUGUAUUUUGAUUGUGCACUUAAAUGAUUUGAAUUUGUGGUUGUGACUAUAUAAAAAUUAUUCGACGGCAUGAUCAACAGACCGUGUGAACAAUUGAAAUAUAUUAAAUAAUCAUGUUCAGACAUCCCUUACUUGUAGAGGUGUCAAAUGGACUGGACAACCCAGUUCGGCUUAAGAGUUUUGACUACAUAAAUGAACCAGUCUGACCAAGCCCAUUUGUAAUUGGGCCGCAUAAAAUAUAAUUGAAUGGAUAUAGAAGUAUAAAUAUUUUUUACAUUACCAUUAAAUACUAAUUAAACUCUAGAUUUAUUUCUUCAAUUGAAUCAAAUUAAUACUACAUCCGUCCAUAAUUAUAGGAUCCUUUUGAAAAAUAACAGGAAUUAAGAAAAUUAAAAGUGAUAAUAAAUUUGUUUUUAAUUACAAUUGUUUUUACAAAUUUGUCUUUUAAGAGUGGGUUAGUCCGUUAAUGUAUGUUUACAAUGUAGUAUUUAAUGAUGAUUGAAGAAAAAGAUAUACAAUAAAUAGGGGUAUGGUGGUAAAGAAUUAAUUAAUAUAUUUGGAAAUAGCAAAGAGAUUUUUAUAAAAAGAGACAAAAAAAUUCUCAAAAGGGUCCUAUAAUUAGGGACAGAGACAGUAGUUUAUAAACUUUAGAAUUUUAAAACUUUGAACUAAAUUUAUGCAUUUUUAUUAAGUUGACUUAUUUCAAUAUAUUUUAUUAAUAAAUUUUUAAAGUAGUUGAUAAUGUUUUUAAAAAAUAUAGCGUUUUUUAACAAAAAUAAAAUAAAAGUAUAGAUAGUAGGUCGGUCCGAAGUCCGAUAGGUUAGCCUGACUCGGCCCCAUUUUCAUAUGGAUCAAAUGAGCUAAGGUAAAAAAAAAUACGAGAGUAUUUUUAGUUAGGUUUGUGGUUCGGCCCAAAAUGUGUCAUUUUUUAUGUCUCUACUUACUAGCCAUCUCACCAUUAACAACGAUUUGUCAACUAAACAAUGUCAUCUUCUUUUCUAUUAAAGUUAACCCGGAAGCCCUAAUUUUAACCUAAACUAUAUUGCAUAAAUUUACUGUUUUAACCCUAAUGCUUAAUUCCUUUGUUUAAUCCUAUUAACCCUAUUUCUUGGUUGAAACAAAUUGAACCUAAUCUCCUAUUUUCUUGAAUAAAACAAAUUGGCCCUAUUUCUUCAACAAAACAAAUCGCUUUAUUUCUUGCUUUAAAAAAGAAACAACAACUCAAGUUGGGAUACUCUACUUGACCUAGAAGAGAAAUAACGGAAAGAAGAACUUGCCUUUUUGAGAACUUAUUGUCGGAACUCGGAAGCAAUGGUGAUCUGCUAAGUUUAUGGCGAGUUCGAUUGAUUAUGAGCUGCUAAGUUCGAUUGAGUAAGAGUUCGAUUGAUUAUGAGUUGCGAAGUUCCAUUGAGUAACAGGCAACAAAUCCUUCUUCUCAUGGCGGUAGGGAUGAGAGAUUUUGCUUACAACAAAUUAAUGGCAUGAUCAUAGGAAAGAGAUUUUAGUUUCUAGGUUUAGUAAGAACAAUGGGAUGAGAAAUGAUGAGGUAGAGUUGCAUGUGAAGAUAUGAUGAGGGAGAUAAAGAUGUUGAUAGGUUUUGGAAUAGGAAAGUAAUUUUUAUGAGAGAGGUUGACUACAGCUAUAAAAUAAAUGAUAAUUAUAUUUAUUUGAUACUUCCUAAAUGUUGUUACUUGAGAGUUAAAACGAUCUCUUUCCUGUGCAAACUAAAAAAUAAAGAGAAUAUAUGAAUUUUUAAUUCCAGCUAUUUUUUAUUCUUUUUUUUUUUUGUCUUUGAAAAUUGAUCUUUAAACUUCAUUAUUUGAAAAAAUCGAUUAUUUAUACUUUAACUAUUUUUAUUAAACUUAAUGUCUACUAAAAAUACAAUCUUAUUUCUUCUUAAUUUUUUAACACGUGAUCAAAAUUAUAUCUUUUUGUGUCUUUUGCUCCAACUUCCCUCUAUUUUUGCUUUCUUAAAAACAAAUUAAAACAAACUCACUCGAUAGAAUUCACUAACUUAAUCUUUUUUUAAAGAAAAAACAAGCUUAAUCUUAAUAAAUAUAUAAAGAGUUAAAAAUAAUUUACAAUCUAUUUUCUUUCUCUUUCUCUAAUUAUGAAGUUAAUGACCGAUAAAAACAAAUUUUUGCCUCAUCUUAAUAUUUUGACACCUCAACAUAUAUUUAUCUUUGUAUGUCUUUUGUAACAAAAUAUCCUAUUUCGCUGAGGGAGAAAAUAACUUUCAAAAGAUUGAUGUGAUUUUAUAACAAAAAAUUCAUUUUAUAUUGAUAUAUCUAUACAAUCUAAAAUAUUUGAAUACCGGACAAAUUACUCUUAAAAAAAAAAAUCAUCGGCAAAUUAUAAUAACCUCCCUUAAGAUCUUCUUAAAUACUAACCUUCCUUAAGGUCUUCUUAAUUGAAAAGCACUUCCCCUAUAAUAUAACACGGUUUAAACUUCGUUCAUUCUAUUUUUUUUAGCAAUUAACUUCUCCAUACGAGUAUAAACUCACUUAAUUUUUCGACCAUUUUUUCUUUCCAUUUUUCACUUUAGUGAUUUUCUCAACUUAUUGUUCCUCAAUUAAGGUGAUUUAAUUUUUAAACUCUAAUAUAAUAAAACGGAUAUAUCAAAGAUUAUUUUCUUUUCAUUGAUCAACUGCAAUGUCCAUCCACUAAAAUUCUUCUCAUUUCUAUAUUCUCUCCUGAUCUCUUAUGUAAUUGCCGAUGUUUGAUUCUAUUUGGCGGUAUGAACAAAUGUUGUUAUUGUUUCUUCAUUGCGAGAAAAAAACUCAUUUAAACAUAAUUGUGAAAAGAGAAAUUAGAUACAAACAAACCAAAAUGACUGAAAUUAAAUUGUAUAUUUACAAAGUUAUUGAAAUGGAAAAAAUGUGGGAAGAUUGAUGUGUUGGAAAAUUAGAAGGCGUGCUUGUGUUAUUUAAGAAAAUCUCAAGGGAUGUCAAUGUAAUUUACCCUUUUAUCAUUAAUGUUGACUUUAUCAUUAGUUUUUUCUUAUUUUUUCAAUUCAUAUAGCAUUGCAAUGCGCUUUGAUGCAUACCCCCGCUUCAAAUUAGCUCGUGCGGAGAGCACGGGUUUGUUGCUAGUUGAUAUAAAUAAUGUGAUUGAUGUCACUUUCAGUUAGCCCCCAAAACUUUGCAUAAAGGGUGAUUCACUGUCAAUUAAAAUUUCUGAAGAUUUAUACCAAGUAGGGUUGGAAAAAUACAAGAACGAAUUGCAUGGUAGAUUUAAGUUGUAAAGGAGGAUAUGCCACCAUGGUCGUAUCUGAGGUAGGAUAAAGAGAACGACUGUACUAGACUUCAAAAAAUAAGUUCAAAAAAAUACAAAAAUAAUACUUAAAAGUUUAGUUCUUUGUUGGCACAUAUCUAGAAAUGCUUGUAGAAAUUGUUUUGUAUGAGCAUUUAAAUAUUAAAUAAAAAAUCAUAAUUUUAUACGAAGUUUGAUAUUUUUAUUAGAUUAUUUCUUAGCGUAAUAAAAACCAUCAUUUUCAAGUAAAUUAUUUUCACACUUUAGAAAUUCAAUUUUUUUAUAUGCUUAUUAUUUAAGACUCAAAUUGUAGAUUUACCCUUAGGACACCAAAAUCUUAGAAACGAACAUGUAUGUCACUCAAGUCGGAUGACCUUCAAUUCAAAUUAGCCAAAUUAUUGAAAUCAUUAUGUCAUUGAAAAAAUGAUACCACUAGGUAAGGGUUUUUACGAAAUUUCAUUUAGUUUCUAAAGAGGGUUUAAGAAGGACAUGGAUUAUGGGAGCACAAUCUUUGCAUUUGGGUAUCUUGUCUUUGCUUCGAUGGACACCAGAUUUCAGUUUAAGGAAACGAAGACAAACAAAUGUAGAAUGUUGUUAUCUCCAGUUAUACUUCCUUCAAUUUGUGAGUAAGUAAAAUUAUGGCUUAAUUACCUAUUUUGUUUCUUUCACUGAAUUACAUAAAACAUGUGACAUGUCUAAAAGAAAUUCAAUUUGGCUAUCAACAUUGUUGAAUGUGACUUAAACUUUCAUGUUUGAAUGGUGAAAAAAUGGUUUGCUAUUGUCCAAUAUGAAAGGCAUAUCCGGUGGUGAGGCGCAAGGCAUACUCUGGGUGUUUUUAUCACAUUUCGGUUCUGUCCCACAUGCCUUGCGCAUGGAGCAACAUGCAAGGCGCAUCCUGGAUAUGCUAACUUGAUGCAAGGUGCCUACAUCAGGUACAUCAUCUAUGAUUUCCAGUUUUCUCAUUCUUUUGUGAUUAAUCUUAUGAAACUAAAGAAGAUAGCUCUUAAGUAUCUUAGAGGCUAAAAGUAGAGGGUCUUUGUGUGAGAUUUUUAGGUUGGGCGGGAAACACAUUGUAAAUUUGAAUGUUGGCAACAAGUUAUGCAAGCUGAACUUUCUGCUCUUGAGACUCCUGGUACAUGGAAAAUUGUGGAUUUACCAUAAAAUGUGAAACAAAUAGGUUACAGAUGGAUUUAUAAGAUCAAACAUUAUGUUGAUGGAUCUAUUGAGAGGUACAAAGCCAGACUUAUUGCAAAAGGGUACAAUAUUUGAUAGAAAGACUUGAUUAUUUUAUCGCAUACUCACCAGUUGAUGUAAUAUUUUAGAAAAAUAACAAUAUUGUAUUUUGUUCUAUUGUUUGCACAUUUCACAUUUGUGUCACUAGUGUUCAGUUUUGAAAAUUUUACAUCACUCUAUUAUUUUAUUGUUGCCCGUGAAUGGGUGACUCAAAAACUUAUUUAAAACACACGUCAGGAUGGACCGAUCUAUACCACAUGAAGCAAUUUUAUUUAUUUAUUUUAAACAAUGUACCUUUUGGACAUUGUGUGGUCACAAAUUCUUCAAAAAUAAAAUUUAAAUUAUUUACACAUAUGCAAAUGAAAAAAUUAGAAAAAAAAGAAGCGAUAUCUUUUAUUAUCAUUUUUUUGAAGAGACUAAAAUGAAUUAUAUUACCACCACGAAAGUCUUCCUAGCACAAGGGAUGUCAAGGAAUAAAAACCUCAAAGUCAAACAAAAUAAUAAAUUACAACAAGGCAAAAGCCAUCACCACAAAACAACCUGAAACAACACAACAAUUAUCCUAUGCCUAGUAAAGUGAACGAACUAAGCCACCAACCAUGAUAGUUAAAAUGAAGAGUAGCAUACUUCGCCUUCAACCACUUGAAUGUUAGCAACUUAAUCCUAUCCACCACCUGCAUAAUGGCGCUAUCAUUAGCAUUAAAAAUUAUGUUGUUUCUUUCCUUCCAUAUUUCCCACAUAGUCGCAAACCAAAUCACCUGAAGAAUAGAUUGCCUCGACUUAGAGCCACCGCUUAAAAAACUGAAUUGAAUAAAAUGCCCCGAAACAUCUAAAGGCAUCGCUGUAGCUAUACCAAUCCAUUGAUAUAUAUAAUUCCAAACCGAUCCAAAAAGACUACAAUGUAAGAAUAAAUGGUUUUAUGUUUCAACAAAACCGCAUCCACCAACACAAAUUUGAGCGUCAAAAUCUAAAACAUGACGCCUAUGAAGAUUAACCUUUGUAGGAAGCCGGUCACGAAAUACACGCCACGCAAAAAGCACCACCUUCAAAGGGACAUCCUUAUGCCAAAAAGAAGGCAAACGCACCACAUUAUCAACAUGAACCUGCGCCAUGAGAGUAGUGUCUGCACUUUUUACUGUAUAACAGGAAGUAGGAUCCGCGUUCCACUUCCAAAAAUCCUUUAUGUGAACCUGAAAAGAAACAUUUUGAAGUAAAAGCCUAAGCUCCCCUACCGACUCUUCCUCCCAAGCCCACAGCCUACGCCUCCACCUCCACGCCCCACCCUCCUCCUCCCACCCUAACGCUCUCAUCGCUGCAACAGACUCCUCCUUUAGAAGCGACAACUCAUACAACCUACUAAAUCUAUCCCGAAGCGACACUCGCUUCACCCAAACAUCCGUCCAAAACAAGACACUAGACCCAUCACCCAAAGAACGACUAAUAUUAUUAUUAAACCAGCCCUCAGAUCGCAAGGCCACUAUACUUCGCCACCACGCGGAACCAUCACGACCUCCACUACACAAGUGACCGCCCUCCAAACCAUUUCGCGCCGCUAACACCCUAAACCACAGACUAUCCCUAUCCACCAACACCACUUCCCUAAUAAUGCUAAAUUAAAUUCUUUAAUUCUCCUAACCCCCAAACCUCCAACUUCCUGACUCCGACAAACAGAAUUCCAAUCAACCCAAAUAAUUUUCCUGUGGUCUGCACUCCCCCCCCCCCCAAAAAAAAUUAUUUAAAAUAGAUUCAAUAGAAGAAACAAUACCUGACGGAGCCUUGAAAAAAGAAAGAGCAUAAACAGGCAGGGACGAUAGGACGGACUUCAGUAGAACCAACCGGCCACCCAAAGACAAGUGUUUCGACUUCCAACCCAACAAUCUAGACUUAAGACGGAAUGAUUUAUAUUUUGUAUAUGUACCUAAAUGAUUUGAAUUCGUGGUUGUGACCACACAAAACUUAUCCGACAGAAUGAUCAAUAGACUAUGUAGACAAUUGAAAUAUAUUAAAUAAUCAUUUUCGGAUAUCCCUUACUUUGUAGAGGUGUCAAAUGAAUUGAUCCGACUCAGUCCGGACUGAGAGGUCCGACUACAUAAUUUGGUCAGAACGACCCAACCCAUUUGUAACUGGACCGCAUAUUAUAGAGCCCGACCUGAUCUAUAGGUCAUGGACCAACCCGACCCGUUUAUUUAUUUAUUCACUUUUUUUUCUUUCUUUUUUUUUAUGUAUUUUUUAUAUAUUAGUUACCCACAACAAUCUUUUUUCUCAAAUAUGAUUGGAUGAACAUAGAAAUGCAAAUAAUUUUUACAUUAACAUUAAAUACUAAUUAAACUUGAGAUUUAUUCCUUCAAUUGAUUCAAUUAAUAAUUUAUAAACUUUAGAAUUUUAAAUCUUUGAGCUAAAUUUAUCCGAUUUUAUUAAGUUUACUUAUUUAAUUUUUUUUUUUAUUAAUGACUAUUAAAGCAGUUGAUAAAGUCUUAAAAAAUAUAGCGUUUUUAACAAAAAUCAAAUGGAAAUAUUGAUAGUGGACCGGUCCGAAGCCUGAUAGGUUAGCCCGACUCGGCCUAUUUUUAUAUGAAAAUUACUCUUCUUCCUUUUAAAAUUGUUUAUUCUCUUAAGAUCGGUUGACCCGACUGAAAAUGUGAUUGAAUCGAUUUUAAAAGUGUUAGCAAGAGUUAACUACCGCUGAAAAAUACCUAACGUGAGUUAACUUCCGCUUAUAUAAGAGAAUGAUCAAUUUUGAAAGGAAUAAGAGCAAUUUUCUUUUUAUAUGGGUCAAAUGAGUUACGGUCAAAAAAGUCCGAAAAAUGCUCUUCUCUCAAAAAGAUUUGCUCACUUCCAACCAAACUUACAAAAAUACUCCACAUAAGUUAAGUCACACAUAUAUUAAACUCAGCAUGACUUAACUCACGUUAAAAAUUUAAACUGAACUGCAACAUAAAUUAACUCACCUUAGUUUUCUUUCUCAAGUUUCACAUGAAAAUCUUGCUCCUGCUAAGAUGCUUAUUUAAUUAUUUAAUAUAUUGCUGUUGAUAUGAUUGUGUGUACCUGUCGCAGUAAUGCAAAGUAGAAGGUAUCCAGCAUGACCCAUACCAUGAUGCUAGCAGCAGUACACACGUGUGUUGUUAGGACAGCAAGAGAUGCAAUGGUCCAUACACCCAUUUAAACCAUUAUAAGCAUUGGAGGAGCAAGAUUUUCAUGUGAAAAUUGAGAAAGAAAACCAGCGUCAGUUAACUUACGAUGGGAUUUAGUGUGAGUUUUUAGCAUGGCUUAAGUCACGUAGGUUGUAUUCCAGUAUGAUUUAAGUAAGUUGGGUUUAACACUUGCGUGAUUUAACUCACGCGAGGAUAUUUUCAAAAAUUUGGUUGAGAAUAAACAAAUCUUGUUGAAAAAAGAGCAUUUUUCAAAAAGUCCGAAUGCAUUUUGGGCCGUCUUUUUUAGAUCCAGCCCAAAAUGUGUUAGUUUUUGCAAUCUCUACCUACUUGCCAUCUCACUAUUAACAACGAUUUAUCAACUAAACUAAACAAUGCCAUUUUUUAUACAUGCACUAAAUAAUGUGAUUGAUGUCACUGUCACACAACCCCCAAAACUUUGCAUAAAGGGGGAUUCAUUGUCAAUAAAAAUUCCUAGGAUUUAUACCAACCAGGGUUGGAAAAAUACAAAAACAAACUGCAUGGUAGAUUUACGCUGCAAAGAGGGAUAUGCCAUGGCCGUAUCUUAGGCAGGGCAAAGAGGACGAUCAUACUAGUUCUCACAUAAUAACUUCAAAUUUAGAUCUCAAAAUUCAAAAAUAAUAUUUAAAUAUUUAGUUCUUUGUUGGCACAUAUCUAAAAAUGCUCAUAGAAAUUGUUUUGUAUGAGUAAUUAAUAUUAAAUAAAAAAUUUCAAUAUUUUAUAUGAAGUCCAAUGUUUUAUUAGAUUAUUUCUUAGCGUAAUAAAAACUAUUAUUUUCAAGCAAAUUUUUUUCACAUUUUAGAAAUUCAAUUUUUUGUAUAUAUUUAUUAAUUAUGAUCCAAAUUGUAGGUUUAUCUUUAAACCACCAAAAUCUUAGAAACGGGCUUGUAUGCAUCUCAAGUCGGACGACCUUCAAUUCAAAUUAGUCAAAUUAUAGAAACCAUUAUGCCGUUGAAAAGAGGCUUUAAGAAGGACCUGAAUUCUGAGAGCACAGACUUUAUAUUUGGGUAUCUUGUGUUUGCUUCAGUGGACACCACACUUCAAUCUAUGGAAACAAAGACAAACAAAUGUACAAUGUUGUUAUCACCAAUUAUAUUUCCUUCAAUUUGCAAAGAAGUAAAAUCAUGGCUUAAUUACAUAUUUAGUUCCUUUCACUGAAUUACAUAAAACAUUUGACAUGUCUUAAAGAAAUCCAAUUUGGCUAUCAACAUUGUUGAAUGUGACUUAAACUUUCAUGUUUGAAUGGUGAAAAAAUGGUUUGUUAUUGUCCAAUAUGCAAGGCAUAUGCGGUGGUGAGGCGCAAGGAGCAUCCUGGAUCUGCUGACUGUGCGCAAGGUGUCUGCAUCAAGUCCAAUAUCUAUGGAAUUUCAGUUUUCUCAUCCUUUUGUGGUUGUGAAACUAAACAAGAUAGCUUUUAAGAAUCUUAGAGACUAACAGUUGAGUUGAGGGUUUUAAGUAAGAUUUUUAGGUUGUGAAACUCAUUAUAAAUAUUUUGGAGAUUAAAAGUAGUUGAGUCUCUUGAUCACAAAAAGAUAUAGAAAAAUGGGUAAAAAUUAGAUUGUUCAUAGAGAACUUGUUCAAGCUAAUUUUUUAUAACUUAUUUUUAUCAUUUGUAAGAAUUAAACUCAUUUAUUGGGAAUUGGAGAGUUGCAUUUUCCCAUAUGUAGGUUAUUAUUGUUGGACCAAACUGAAAACCAAAUCUUGAUGUGUUUAUUUCUCUACUCUCUUUAUUUUGUUGUUGUUGCUUUGAUUGUGGAUUUUCUUUACGCUUUUUUGUUACAUCGACAAUUAUAAAAAAUUAACAAUCUAUUGAAACUCAUUUCAAGCGCUCUAAGUGUUUAAGAACAAUUUAUGUUGAGUGAUUAAACACAUUUUUUUUUGUAAUAGCUGUAUAUAUCUAUCAAAUGAAGACAAAUUCUUUGUAUUUUUUUCUUUUUAUUUAUUAUAUUUACUUUUUGCUUAAAAAAAACGAAGAGAAAUUCAACAUGCAGGUUGUGUGGUGUCAUUGUUGAAAAAUUGUGAAGUAUAGGUUUCAAGUUGAAUAUUAAAAAAUCCUUAAAAAGUUAGAUGUAUCAUCGAUAAUUUGGAUUAUAGAUGGAUGAUACGAUGGAUACAUACUCAACCAAAUUGUUUUCGUAAGCUGAGUUUUUUGUAUAUAUAUAUUACAACUGACUAGUAGUAUGUUUUAUGCGGAGUUAAUAGACUUAAGAGAAGGUGUCAAUCUUGACCAACAGGGGCUACUUCUAAUUCAACAAUAAUGGAAUAUUAUUAAAUUUGGUCACCAAAACACACAGAGAGUAGUAGAUAGAUGGAAGUUGGUGGCAAUCCAAAUUAGUCCUAUAAAUAUCAAACAAAGUAUAGUUUAUUCAUAACACACUCACUACUACUUUGGUAACUUACUCAGAACAAGAAAAAACAGACACACAUAAACACACUUGUUUUUUUACUAAAGUUAUUUUUUCUUCCAAUGGCAACUGAAAACAAAAUCCUGAUCCUAGGACCAACAGGAGCUAUUGGAAGACACAUAGUUUGGGCAAGUAUUAAAGCAGGAAAUCCAACAUAUGCUUUGGUUAGAAAAACACCUGGCAAUGUUAACAAGCCAAAGCUUAUUACAGCUGCUAAUCCUGAAACCAAGGAAGAGCUUAUUGAUAAUUACCAAUCUUUAGGAGUUAUUCUACUUGAAGUAAGUGAUUUCAAUUUCUGAAAUAAUUUUAUAUUUUAUACUAAUUAAAUUUUUCUAAUCAAUAUGUCUUUGACUCUGCAGGGUGAUAUAAAUGAUCAUGAAACUCUUGUUAAGGCAAUCAAGCAAGUUGAUAUUGUGAUUUGUGCUGCUGGUAGACUACUAAUUGAGGAUCAGGUCAAGAUUAUUAAAGCAAUUAAAGAAGCUGGAAACGUUAAGGUGAGCAAAUUUGUCACUACACCACACUAAAUAAGUUCAAAUAAGUCAAUCUAAAUAAACUAUUAAGUAAUAGCUCCUUUGCUGGUUAGAUUUCGGCUUGUUAUAUUGAAUGUUGGUACUAAAUUUCUUGUGUCUACAGAAAUUUUUCCCAUCCGAAUUUGGGCUAGACGUGGACCGUCACGAGGCAGUUGAGCCAGUUAGACAAGUUUUUGAAGAAAAAGCGAGUAUCCGAAGAGUAAUUGAAGCUGAAGGAGUUCCUUACACUUACCUUUGUUGCCACGCCUUUACCGGUUACUUCUUACGUAACUUGGCUCAACUCGACGUCACUGAUCCUCCUCGGGAUAAAGUUGUCAUUCUUGGAGAUGGAAAUGUGAAAGGUAGCAAACUUAUUCACAAAACAGUUUUAGUACUAGUAUUCUACUAAACAUACAUCAUUCAAUUGUUUCAACAUUUGCCUUAAUUUUUUUUUUU